UCCCUGGUGGUCCAGUGGCUAAGACUCUGAGCUCCCAAUUCAGGGUGCCAAGGUUCAAUCCCUGGUAAGGGAA
rnacentral:tRNA from 1 species